UCAUCGUCUGCUACUAAAUUUCUUCAUUUCUCACGUGGUCGGAGUGGAGACGGUCGCCUGGUCGCCCUUUUCCUGGAAUUUGGAAAUUUCUUUGUCUAGUUGGUUAAUCUCUCUUCUAAUUAUGCUACUAUUAAAGUAUUGUUUCAUAUUUUUUGUAGUCAUUUCGUUUUCAUGAAACAUUUCUCGCUGUCAAACAGUAUCGAUAUGUGUUCUUCAUGCCCAGCCCAGCUUUUGAUUCUUUGCUCGAAGCAACUUUCAUAUCGAAAUUUUUCAAAAACAGUUUUGUUCUGGUUUAUUUAAGUUAGAAUAGUUAAUGAACCUAAAUCUUAUUUGUGUUAAUCUGUCUAUUUUAUUCAGAUUUCUUGACUUCAGAAGUUGGUGAGGUGUUAAGAGAUCUGCCAGAUUGACCAGGACUCGAGUUCAUCACCAAAUUAUAUCAUUAAUUGCCGCAAUCUUCUCCUGACUGAAUAUUGAUGCAGUUUGAUCACGGCCAUGUUUACAGUUUGACUGAUCGGCGAUUUCACGUAGUCAUACAAUUAAAACAGAUUGGGAUAAAUUUUGUUCUUUUAUUUGAAGACAUUUCUAAAAAGAUUUUCCGAAUAUCAAUCAGCUCUUUCUCAUGCUAAAUAAACUACUUAUAUAUAUUCGUCUACGCUAUGUAGAGUGUUUAAAAGUAUUGAUUCUUAAAGUUGAAAUGUGUAAUCAAAAACAUAAAUAAAUAGUUGGAAUUGCA